GAAUAAAUGGAGAAAUUGACGGAAAAAAAGGGAAAAAAUGUUGUUUAAUAUACCAACUUUCAAAAAGUGGCCAUUUAAACUAUGAACUCCAUAUAUGGCCAAAUAAAACUUAGUAAAAGCGUUGAUCGGCCAUUUUAUAUAUUCCAAAACAUUGAUCCGGCCAAAAACCCUGCGACGUUAGCAGUCGUUAAUAGAGUCGAUAAUAGGCGUUAGCAGACGUUAAUUAAUCCGUUUAAACACAAACGACGUCGUUUUGUGUUUAAUCGAAACCAACAAAAUUCCCAAUUCGAUUCUCAAUCCCUAAAAUCCCCAAUUCCAAUUCUCAUGCCCUAAAAUUCCCAAAUUCAAAAAUCUUCAAAAGCCUCUCCAUUUUUGUUCGUUUGAAGAUUUUUGUGUUUAAACGGAUUAAUUAACGCCUGCUAACGCCUGUUAUCGACUCUGUUAACGACUGCUAACGUCGCAGGAUUUUUGGCCUGGUCAACGUUUUGAGAUGUAUAAAAUGGUCGGUCAACGCUUUUACUAAGUUUUAUUUGGCCAUAUAUGGAGUUCAUGGUUUAAAUGGCCACUUUUUGAAAGUUGGUGUAUUAAACAACAUUUUUCCCGAAAAAAAAUGAAUAAAUGGAGAAACUAUUGAUUAGUUAGUUGCUUAACUCAAAUCU
rnacentral:sRNA from 1 species